AGUGAUUUUUGCUCCAUACUUUCCCAGUCAAACACAACAAAAAUAAAAAUUCACAUCCAACACAGACUUCUUGUUUAUAAUCUGCCGUCUCCCAGGGACCUGCACUGCCGUGCCACAGCUCUUGAAGAUCACAAAAGCCAAGAGCUGAGCACCAGCUUCCCCAGCCCGGCUGCUGCAGGCAGCACUGCUGCUGCUGUGCCCAGGUGCAUCUGCUCCCUGACACCAGGGAUUCUGUCUGCAGGUCAGGAGGUCCCACUUCAUGCAGAGAGACCUCAGAAGGACUCCAGUCCCUUGUGGAGCAGCCAGCCAGCCACAGUGCUGUGUGACACACUCAGCACAGGGCAAGUUAGCUCUGCAUCAGCUUCAGAGUCCCCUCAGGCAGGGAAUGUCACUGAGAUUUCUGAGCUGGGAAUAUCUCGGCGAGGUUUGGGGAAUGCAUUAAGAAAACAAUACGGUUGAAGACUUGCACAAAGUCAGAUAGUGCCAUGUGGGAGGUAUGCAUAGCCUGAGCUCAGCCCCUCCACAUCCCUGAGAUGCCUGACACCCUGUAAUUAUAGGCUCAUAGGCAUAACUUGUACUCAAAAGUUUCACUUUGACCAUAGAUCCACAGAGACAGCAUCUCAUUUUGGUGUAGCCAUGCUUAAUUUCUUUGACCUAAGCUUCCCAAUUGUGCCUUUUGAAUUUGGCAUUUAAUACAAUCCAUUCUUUUUCUCCAUUUCCCAAAUAGUCUGUGGAGCCAGACUAAUCGCCGCUCAUCAAAUGCCCAUUGUGUUCCUAUUUCCCUGUCCCAUGGUAACAGACACUUUUAUUGUGAUUAUUCAUCUGCUGUUCUUUCAUUAAUGAAAGAUUUUGAUUUUGCUGCCAUAAGGCCUCUUCAAUAGCUUUAUAUUAUGAGCACAGUUUCAAACAGAAACCUGUUCUUUGGUACUGCCUAGCAGUGACACUGGAGGGUCUUUUCUACCUUCUUGCUUGGCCAGUGACCACAAGAAAUGUCCACUUCAAGCACUCAUGAU
rnacentral:lncRNA from 1 species